GUGCUCACUUCGGCAGCACAUACGCUGAAAUCGGAAUGAUACAGAAGAUUAGCAUGGCCCCUGUGCAAGGAUGACAUGCAAAUUCGUGAAGCGUUCCAUAUUUAA
rfam:Tupaia chinensis contig188455, whole genome shotgun sequence.